CGGCAGACGGGUGAGUAACGCGUGGGAACGUACCUUUUGCUACGGAAUAACUCAGGGAAACUUGUGCUAAUACCGUAUGUGCCCUUCGGGGAAAGAUUUAUCGGCAAAGGANCGGCCCGCGUUGGAUUAGCUAGUUGGUGAGGUAAAGGCUCACCAAGGCGACGAUCCAUAGCUGGCCUGAGAGGAUGAUCAGCCACACUGGGACUGAGACACGGCCCAGACUCCUACGGGAGGCAGCAGCU
rnacentral:rRNA from 1 species